rnacentral:rRNA from 1 species
AUACGGAGGGUGCAAGCGUUAAUCGGAAUUACUGGGCGUAAAGCGUACGUAGGCGGCAAGUUAAGUUAGAUGUGAAAGCCCCGGGCUCAGCAUGGGAACUGCAUUUAAAACUGGCUUGCUAGAGUUGAGUAGAGGGGAGUGGAAUUUCAGGUGUAGCGGUGAAAUGCGUAGAGAUCUGAAGGAACACCAGUGGCGAAGGCGACUCCCUGGACUCGAACUGACGCUGAGGUACGAAAGCGUGGGUAGCAAACGGGAUUAGAAACCCCUGUAGUCC